CCUCUAACACAUUUAAAAGCUAUUUUACUCUACCUCCAGGUUUCUAAUGCACAAGCAGAGUAUUCACACAGAGGAACUUCCCUAAAACAGUUGUGAACUUAUACUUUCCUUAUUCCUUUCCUUAUUCCUUGAUAAGGAAGUCUCCAGAGUUUGAACAAAUAUCAGAAAAUUCAAAUGAGGAGUUUUUGACCACAAAAAUACUAAAAAGGAGGGUUGUCAUUAAGGUAUCCGAAUAAGCAUGGCUCUCGGUGCCCUGACUUAGCAUGGAAACUUGGACUUUGAUGUUUUUCUCUGCUGUACAGAAUGUCUGAAAUGUGUUAGAGGACUAAAACUCACUUUGUGUGCACAGAUGGCUGAAAGUUUUGGGUUGGGUUUAUGAUGCUGUUAGCAUGUCUUUGCUGAUUCUAUUUGAUAAUACAACUCUUAAUGCUUUAUUUUGCUGUUUCCCUAAUUUCCCAAAGUUCUCUUAUGAACAUAAACAUCAAAUAUCAUUCUAAACCGAACUGCCAUGCCUGAUCGUCCUUUCCUCUGUCUCCCAUACAGGUUGCUGAAGAAUCUGACCUCGCUACUGAGUCAGUGACUGAAGAACAGUAUCGGGAUGAAAAUGGCCGUUUAGUUGUCAAACGGGUUACACAAAAAGUAGUCCGCAAAUGUGUUUCUGUUGAUGGUGUACAGCAUAAACAGAGGUCACCAGAGGGAGCUUCUCCUGGGCAGUUCAACGUAGCAGACGGAGAUGGUUACUCCAAAGUGGUAAAGCGGACUGUACUUAAAAGCGAUGGAGACCAUACAGAGGUCAAAUUUCUAAAAAGUGAGGGCUUCCUGCCAAAACGGCCAGAGAACGCUGACUCAGAAAAGAAAACUGUGGUUGAGUGUGAAAGGACAGCAACUUCCCAAGGAGAUCCUACUCUGGCCUCAGACUUCGCAUCAGCCCAAAACGAUUUCCAGCAGGACCCACAUGCAUAAAGGUUCCACCUACAGACAAGCAGUGGUGGAAGGAUCUGGGCAGCACAAAGAUGUCCUCAUUGAGUGGCAGGACUAACCUGGGAAAGCAUCAGCAGCCCGUGAUCUAUAGUAGCAACUCUACCAACUCUUUCACUGCUACCAUGAAAACAAGGACAACUAAAGAGAUGAAACAGAAGCGGAAGAGCAAUGAAUGACUAAUUCCUUUCCCCGGUCCCCAGCUCUGUCCACGCUAGAGUUCCUGCUAUUCCUAUGCAUUCGCUACAUGCAAUCCAAGUGUGCACCUCAGAGACACAACAAGUCUUCCGAUUUCAGUCCUGGAAGACAAACUUUUGUUCGCAAAAGGAUUUUUUUCUUAUUCAUAUUAUUAAGUCUUUUUCGUUGUUUUCUGAAGUUGCUUUUGCCCUUUUAUGACCAAAGAAAGUCUUCUGUUCAUUCACUCGUCGAUUUUCUUUCGUUUUUCAAAUGUGAUAGGGGAACAAGAAAACAAUCAGGAAAAACAGAGUAACACUAUCUAAGGUAAAGAAUGGUUAACCUUAAAAAAAAAAAAAAUACUGCAAAUGCUGUCUGUGUAGGGGCACAGAAUAAAAACAAAGCAGUAAUUCGCACACUGGCUCUAACACCAUUGUUUCACCAACAGUUCAAAAUGUAUCCAUCAUAUUUUUUCCCUUGAAUCCGGUGGUCAGAAUGUCACAAACAGAAAAACAGACUGUGCUGACACCAAAUGUAACUGCUGCUGUCGUGUUUUGUGUAAACUAUGUGUACUCUCGUCUUUAGUAGCCAGAAAUAUAUAUUAUCUAUUAAAUAGCUGACAUCUGUAGCCUAGGAAUGAAUAAUCACUCACGUGAAGUAAAACCGGCAUGGCUAAUCAACAUGUGUCAGUUAUAUCCUAGCUUUGACUGCUUUGCCGCUCUGUGGAUCGUCUUUCAGACUUUUAGUUUUUCCUAGUAUGUGUCUUUUUAUCUGUAACUUUAUUUGUUUCUUGGCUUUCUGUUUUUAAAUGUACAUUUUUAAUCAUGAAUGUGUGCUGUUUAUGCUGAAACAGUUAUUCUUUCAGUAGAAGAUUUCAAGAAUCAUUAUUUAACAAUAUCUGGAUUUAAUUUUUAGUUAUCCAUCAUAAGAAGGAAAAAAACUGACACAAUUUAGUGGAGCGUAAUCAGGCUUUUGCUAAUGUAACUAUGUAAAAGCUUUAUUAGUUCACCUUUUCACUGAGAAAGUGCUUACUAAUACAAUUGAGAGUUGAAGAGUCUGCUGGUUUGCUUUACACAAAUUGCUUUUGCACUCCUGAAUGUCAAGCGGGAACACUUCCACGCUUUAAUGCACAAGACCUGAGGUACGGCAGACGUUAGCUACGGCGGCAGGUGAUGGGAGAUAAAACAGGUAAUGAAAUACACUGGAUGGCCGAGCGGUUUUAUUGUGCACUCCUGCAACAUGUAUAUCACUCUCACUGUUAACGUUGUGAUUUAGGGGAAAAUAUGCUAAUUAGUGGAAAUUCACUGUGACAGGUUUGCUUUUAAUUUUAAACAGCAUCCCUUCUUCUGUAAUGACAGUUAUGUGCAUAUCCAGCUCAUAAUUAUAUGAAUAUCUACAAGGGCAUGUAUUAUUGUAUUAAAUGUAAAAAAUAUUCAACCUACAUGGCCGUGUUGUAUCUAUGACUGGUUGGAAAUAAAAACCUACAAGCAUCCAGUGUGGGAAAUCAAA